AGCCAACAGAGAGAUUCAAACUUGCGACCACUGGUAUACGAGACCAGUGCUCUAACCUCUGAGCUAUGGUGGC